rnacentral:rRNA from 1 species
AUUACUGAGUUUACGCUCUAUAACCCUUUGUGAACAUACCUAUAACUGUUGCUUCGGCGGGUAGGGUCUCCGUGACCCUCCCGGCCUCCCGCCCCCGGGCGGGUCGGCGCCCGCCGGAGGAUAACCAAACUCUGAUUUAACGACGUUUCUUCUGAGUGGUACAAGCAAAUAAUCAAAACUUUUAACAACGGAUCUCUUGGUUCUGGCAUCGAUGAAGAACGCAGCGAAAUGCGAUAAGUAAUGUGAAUUGCAGAAUUCAGUGAAUCAUCGAAUCUUUGAACGCACAUUGCGCCCGCCAGCAUUCUGGCGGGCAUGCCUGUUCGAGCGUCAUUUCAACCCUCAAGCUCUGCUUGGUGUUGGGGCCCUACAGCUGAUGUAGGCCCUCAAAGGUAGUGGCGGACCCUCCCGGAGCCUCCUUUGCGUAGUAACUUUACGUCUCGCACUGGGAUCCGGAGGGACUCUUGCCGUAAAACCCUCAAUUUUCCAAAGGUUGACCUCGGAUCAGGUAGGAAUACCCGCUGAACUUAAGCAUAUCAAUAAGCGGAGGAAAAGAAACCAACAGGGAUUGCCUCAGUAACGGCGAGUGAAGCGGCAACAGCUCAAA